rnacentral:rRNA from 1 species
CGUGUAGGCGGUCAUGCAAGUCAGAUGUGAAAGCCUUCCGCUUAACGGGAGAAGUGCAUUUGAAACUGCAUGACUGGAGUACGGGAGAGGAGAGUGGAAUUCCCGGUGUAGAGGUGAAAUUCGUAGAUAUCGGGAGGAACACCAGUGGCGAAGGCGGCUCUCUGGCCUGAUACUGACGCUGAGACGCGAAAGCGUGGGGAGCAAACAGGAUUAGAUACCCUGGUAGUCCACGCCGUAAACGAUGGGCACUAGGUGUAGGAGGUAUUGACCCCUUCUGUGCCGAAGCUAACGCAUUAAGUGCCCCGCCUGGGGAGUACGGCCGCAAGGUUAAA